UAGUCUCGUGUCUUCAAGACCACUGCUGUAAUUAUUCGUCGUAGGAUAAACCAUGGAGCUAUAAGACAUGGUAUAUAACAACUCCUUGAAUAAACGAAACAAAAUUGCACCCCUGCGAAACGUGUGGUGUUUAGUUUUGCUUUUUGAAAAAUGUUAGAUAGAUGAUAGAAUAACACAAAUGAUAUGAAAACUUCAUAAACUUCUUGUCUUAUUACAAUUCGCCGACCAUCAUUUUUAAAGAUAUUUCUUGCUUUCUUUUAUUUAUUUUUUUUAUAUAAGACAGUUAUCCUCAACAUAACGUCUACACUGUAAAUGGAGAGAACACCGGACGCGUUCAUCUGUAUUCAAUUUUGGAACACUACGUGUUAUACUCUGAACACCGAUGUUUAGUACAAGUGUUCUGUGUACGAUUGGAACGCUUGAUUUGAACGCCAGCAUUCAAUAUUCGAUCGCCUUCCAAGAAAAGUCUAGACAUAUUUUACUGUUUUGAGUUUUAAUGAACUAGGGGUCACAUCUUGAGCAGGUGCAAUUGGCUGCUUAUUCAAACAAUGAAACUGUCUGAUAGCUCUACAUAAAGCGUAUAACGAACAAAAGUUGAAACAAAGUUUGAUCGGAAUAAGAAGGGCAUAUGUCAUUUCCAGACUCCUAAAGUGAUCACUGAGGUUGUUAAAGAACAGGACUUUGAGGUCAUAUUGGAGGUAAAAGAAAACACUCCUCCAAAAUUAGUGAUAUUUACCAGAAAUGACAAAGCAGAGACAGCCUAUUUAGUAGGAAAUUGUACUGCCACUAGGUGCAAUAGGGAGAGUACAGUGUUAUUUGCAGUUCAGUUAUUUGCAACAUUCUGUGUUUUCGACAUUGAAUAUCAUUCUUAAGCAAUGUCUUUAGGAUUCUUGCAGCAAUUUGUAUUUGAAGAACAGUAUACAAAUGAAAGUUAAGAAAAUCAUUUUUUUCUGUGAGAAGUAUAGAACAGUAUUUAAAUAAAUGAGUUACAUGGUUAAGGUGUUGGGAGGAUAAUAAAAUUAGCAGUCACUCCUUCUGAAAUAUCAUUCUGGUUUGUAUUUUGCUGAAAUCAAAUGCAGCAGUUCAAGAUAGAGAAUAGUUUUCAGUAUUAAAUGCUAAUACCACUGGUCUCUUCUGAGCUGCAGCAGAUAGAUUGACAUUUUUCAAAUGAUAUUACUGGGUUUUUCAAAAUAAUGUUUUUGGUACUGAGCAGGGACAUAUUUUACAAAAUGGACAAGUUUAUUGUUACCGAACAAGUUGAUUGACAUUCUCAAAAUGUUACUAUUAGUUCUGAGCAGACAUGUUGGUAUUUUCUAAAUGCAAUUGGGACUGAGCAGGUUUUUAACAUUUUACAAAUGAAAUUGUAUAUAUAUAAUAUUGCAUAUUACAGUAAUUCAUAAAUAAAUGUGUACUUUCUUAUGUUCUGAGCUGUAUGCAAGAAUAAAAUAAUAGUAUAUCUUUCUAUAUUAUUGUAUAAGUCUGUCAAGGUUAUGUCUGGUUGAAAUGCUGGUUUUGUGCCACUGAUGAAAUAAUUUUGUAACUAGUAUUUCCAACCUUACCUGAUUUAUUUGCUUUGGGAAAAAGUCAUAGUCAUGUGCCAGUGUCUUUUUGUUAAAAAAAAUAUUCUGAAUUUUUCUUAAGUACCAUUUUAUCUUUGAAACUUGGAUUUUGACCAUCGUCUAUUUGCAGGAGUACAAAAUUCUGUCAAUAUUUUUUUCAUUAUGGUAAUUUUUUACACAGUUUCAAAAAAUUUUGGGACAGGGAACACUUUUACAGGAAAUUAUGUUCAAAGCAUAAUAUCUUCUUUUAUGUUUUUAUGACAGUUUUUUUUUCAGGUAUGUUUAAAAUACAACGAAAGAACAAUAUACAUGUACAUAAAAAGCUUGUAAAAUUGUCAGGUUAAGUAGUUGCACAUGAUGUUGGUAGUUUUUCUUCAAAAUGUUUUUUUGAAAUAAAGUUUUUUUUUCAGCAGUAAAUGUUAUUAUGUAUAACAAAUAUCCCUUACAAAAACAUGUCUCUUAUCCAGUGUUCAAAACUGAAUGCAGUAUGUUCAACUAAUGCUCAUAUUCUUAACGUCCAUGUCUUUGAACAUGUUCUAGGCGUUCAAUAUCUGUUGCAUUGGAAUUGAACACGUCCGGAGUUAAACAAAAGAACACCUGGGUGUUCACAGACUGUUCAUUUACGGAACUGUAGGUGUUACCAAUCUGAACACUAACAUUAAAAAAUAGAACAUGUCUGGUGUUAAAAAAGAACACCUGGCUGUUCAUAAGGUGUUCCACAACAGAACAGCUAACUGUUCACCGGGCGUUCUUUCUUUGAGCAGCUAGUGUUAAAAAUUUGAACACUAGUAUUAGGAUUUUGAACGCAAAGACGCGUUCAAUAUCUGUUGCAAAUUGGCGUUCAAAGCGUGUUCAGUUCCUUAACACUUACAUUUAC